GAGACAUUACGGGAGGCAGCAGUGGGGAAUAUUGCGCAAUGGGCGAAAGCCUGACGCAGCUACGCCGCGUGGGUGAUGAAGGCCUUCGGGUUGUAAAGCCCUGUCGUAGGGGAAGAAACAAAUGACGGUACCCUACAAGAAAGCGCCGGCUAACUCCGUGCCAGCAGCCGCGGUAAUACGGAGGGCGCAAGCGUUGCUCGGAAUCACUGGGCGUAAAGCGUACGCAGGCGGACCGUUAAGUCGGGUGUGAAAGCCCAGGGCUCAACCCUGGAAUUGCAUUCGAAACUGGCGGCCUUGAGUACGGGAGAGGGAAGCGGAAUUCCUGGUGUAGAGGUGAAAUUCGUAGAUAUCAGGAGGAACAUCAGUGGCGAAAGCGGCCUCCUGGCCCGAUACUGACGCUCAUGUACGAAAGCGUGGGGAGCAAACAGGAUUAGAUACCCUGGUAGUCCACGCUGUAAACGAUGAGUGCUAGCUGCUGGGAAUGCUUACCGUCUCAGUGGCGAAGCCAACGCAUUAAGCACUCCGCCUGGGGACUACGGCCGCAAGGCUAAAACUCAAAGGAAUUG
rnacentral:rRNA from 1 species